GCCUCGGUAGCGGAUGGUCCGCAUCUGCAACAAUUCACAAGUGUUCUCAUGUUGCGCAGACGUAGCUCGUUCGAUUCGAGCCCGAGGCA